UAUCAAACGGCGCUGCUGGUUUUCUUCUUCAACAGAGAAUUAGCUCCCUUCAAAAAUUGAACACAAGCAACACCCUACCCUUGGCUAAUUCUUCUAUUCUUCUUCAUUUUUCCAUGGAAAACACAACAGAUCUUUAGAUCCCUUGAAGCUUGAGCGCGCAGGACCCCAAAGAAGAACACCCAUGUUCUUCGACAACACCAAGAUGCCUGAAUCCCAACCUUGCGUCGUCUUUCACCAGUUCUAAGCGCCAUUCUGCCUCCUUCUUCUUCAUUUUUUGAUCAACAAGGAAAAAAGAAGCAGACCCUUCUCUUACUCUUAAAAAACAACAACGAAAAUCUAGCAAAAACACCAACAAAAUCGAGCCAAAAACCCAGCAUAACAGCUCGUUCUCUCCCAAUUUCCCUUACUGUUGAGGUCGAUUUUUUGGCGAGCCAAAACAUAUUGUAGCUAGGUCUGUUUGUUGUUGAAGCUUCUGAUGUGACUCGUUUGGCUUUUACUCGAGGUUGGUAUUGUAAUUUUGCAUUCUAGGUAUUUCUUUUCAUUUCUCACUUAGUGUGUGCUAAAAAUUAUUAUAUAUAUGCUGAAAUUCCAUGGAAAUGCUGGCUACUUAAUGUUUGUUGAUUACUUAUUUAAUCUAAUUUAUUGUGACAUUAUAUGAAUCGAUAUGUAUGAUUCUCAUGUGUCUAAUGCAAAUUCACAUUCUGUUGGGUUUCAUUAGAUAUAUGUUGUUCGUUCUGGGGGAUUUGUACAAUUUGUAGUUAUGUGUUUGUUACACUGGUUUGGUGCAAGCAUUUAUAGAAACAAAGUAUAUUGCCGGCUUUGAUGAAAAUUUUUAUUUUUAUAAAGUAUAUUUCUAGCUUCUGAUUUCUUGGGCUGUUAGAAAAUACUGGUUCUGUAGCUUUGGAGAGACUAAGCGGCAGGAAGACUUUGAACGUUUUCCUUCUUUGUUUCUAAUGACUGACUUCAUUGAAAUGGGUAUGGGCCUAUUCUAAGAUUGCUUUUAAAAUUGAGCUGUAGAGAUAAAUUUGGGUAAAGGAAAAUUAAAAGAUUGUAUCUCUUUAAAUAUGAGGAGCAUGUCACUACUCAUGUCUUUGGAUUGCCAUGUUUAAGAUGUGGAUUAAUUAAGUUUGGGCCUUGCUAAUAUGGUAGGUCAUAGUGUGAAUAAGAAGAAUUUUAGCCAAACUUUAGGCAUAAUUUUGAUUUGAAAUUUUAUUAAGUGGAUUUAAAAUCAUUGGGGUUACUCAUAAAAACUAGAGUGCAUCACUGUCUUCCACAAUAAUUUCACGUUCUUAAAAAUGCUUUGACACAAUGUUAGACUGCAAUUUUGCACGUAUAUAGAUUCAUAUGAUCUUGAAUUUGUUUGUGUAACUUGUAAAAUCAGGUUGCCACUCAUUU
rnacentral:lncRNA from 1 species